ACAAGCGGAGGAGCAUGUGGUUAAUUCGAUGAUACGCGAGGAACUUACCUGGGCUCGAACGUAAGAUGACUGUAGGUGAAAGCUUACAUCUCUUCGGAGCAUUUUACGAGGUGCUGCAUGGUUGUCGUCAGCUCGUGCCGUGAGGUGUCGAGUUAAGUCCCAUAACGAGCGCAACCCCUACCUUAGUUGCCAUCAGGUUAAGCUGGGGACUCUAAAGGAACUGCCUACGCAAGUAGUGAGGAAGGCGGGGAUGACGUCAAAUCAGCACGGCCCUUACGUCCAGGGCUACACACGUGCUACAAUGGCCGAUACAGAGGGCAGCUACCUGGUGACAGGAUGCAAAUCUCCAAAGUCGGUCUCAGUUCGGAUCGGAGUCUGCAACCCGACUCCGUGAAGUUGGAUUCGCUAGUAAUCGCGCAUCAGCCAUGGCGCGGUGAAUACGUUCCCGGGCCUU
rnacentral:rRNA from 1 species